CCGGGAGCGCCAAUGGGCGCCGUCCCCGGCCGGGGGUGGGCGCGGCUGGCAGGAGACUGAGCAAAGGCGGAAGCCUGGGGCGCGCUGUCGGGGCCGUGCGCCGCGGCCGGAGCUGCUUGUGGGACCAUGUCUGUCGGCAGGAGGCAAGUGUUCAUAGGGAAAGUACUGAAGAGGCUCUUUGCUGCUACUCCCUCCACUUCUUAUAUGCCUGUUCCAAGUGGAGAAGAGAUGGUACUAAAAACUCCUGCCUCAAAACCACAGCAGAAGGAUUCUGAGAAUGCUCAGGCUUCAUCAGAAUGUGCCAGUUCCCCAGGUAGGGAAAAUGAAAUCCUGCUUCCAAGGUUAUACACAGUAAGUCUCCCUCCUGAAGGCUACAUCCCAGAUAAUCCAAGAACAGAUAGUCCCACAAAUGCUGAAAACUCAGAGAGUAGUGAUGAUGCAGCAGAGGAGGAUUCUCACGGACAACCCAAGAGAAGGCGCAUUCGAAGGAAGAAACGAAAGAACACUGUUGGAAAUCCUGAUAAUUUACAUGGAGAACAAACAGAAUCUGGGAAGCAUGAGACUCUGUUUCAAGAUAAUUUACAGCUGCAGCAGACAGACGGCACAAAAGUUAGCAAAAACAAAAAGAGGAAAAUGAAAAAGAAACGACAAAAAGAAAAGAUGAAAGCAGCUGGCAUGCUAACAAAAACCACUGGUGUGGAUUUUACAUAUCAGCCUGAGAAGGACAACAGUGAAAGAGCAGACUUUAAAGACAUAUAUGAAAAAGCAGAUGGCAUUCUGGACUUCUUGCAGGCAACACAAGAAAUCUAUUUUGCUGACAAUAAAUCAAAAUGCACAGAUUCACCUAUGAGUUCAGCAACCGUCCAAGAGAUUUUACAACAUCUUGAAUCUCACAGCAUGGCUUCCUCAGAUGUGACACUUCUACAUCAGAUGAAAUCCCUUGUACUUUUGCAGGAUACUGAGAGAUUGAAGGGCAUUUUGGAACAAUUCCAAGAACAUUCCAUGAUGCUGCCUGAUCAUGCCAAGAUAAUCUCUUCUCUGUUCCACUACUGGAUUACAGAUAUCCUUCCCGUGAAGAACAGGAAAUAAGGCAUGUGUGUGUGUCCAUCUGUGCAGAGUUAAAAUUUAAUAUACAAACUGUAAGCUGAAUAGCGAAUGUUCAGAAAUAGCAGUGUACAUGCUGUAUAUUCAGCAAGGAUCCCACCUCAUUCAGUGCACGGGAUGGACCCCUCUGGGGAUCAAUCAAGGUGGUUUUGCAGAAGUGGGAAGAUGUGCAGUGAAGGAAGCAGGGUAUUGUUGAAAGAGAAAGGAUUGCCUCCUGGUUAAGGCAGCUGAAUGCUGCCUUGGAGAACUGGAUUUUUUACUGCCUCUGCCACAGAGUUCUUAUGCUAGGCAAGUCACUUAAAUCAAACUUUUCACAGGUGGUCACUAAUUUCGUUCUUCGUUUUCUGUUUACCUGACUUGAGAGGCUGGGGUCUGUUUUGCAGAAAUGUUGAGUACUCACAGCUCCAAACAUCCGCAGAGCUACUUCAUUGUCCUUCAAAUCCCUCCAUAAAACUCUUCUUUCCUGUGAGGCCUACAAACUUGACAGUUUAAUUAUGCUGACCAAAAUUAUCUAAUUGUUUCCUUGUACUCCCCUGUCGGUCUGUCUGCUCCAUUGAUUAACUCUUGUUGCAUACUUACAUUGUAAGCUCUUUGGGGCAGGGACUUUCUUUUCUGUGUUUGCACAGUGCCCAGCACAAUGAAGUUCAAGUCCAUGACGAGCUCCUAAGCACUAUUGCAAUACAUAUAAUGAUGGUGAUAAGUGAAUGUAUAAAGUGCUAUACAAUGCUAAGCACCUGGAAAAGUCAGGCACUGGGUAUCUCAGAUUGGGCACCCAAAAUCAGUUGACGCUUCUGACCUUGAUCUCCUGUGCCUCAGUUCCCCACACCUUCACAUCACAAGGGUGUUGUGAACAUUCGUGAAUGUUUGUGAAGUAGUUGGAUGCUAUAGUGAGAAGCACCAUAGAAAAGGAAAUUAAUAAUUAUUUUUUCAGAGCAGGGUUUGAAUAGUGCGCAGCAAAUAAGGCAGGUAUUGCACCGCACAUUGAAAAACGAGGAGAAAACAAAAUAUUGAAUAGCUGCUCAUUAAGUGAGCACUGUCCAUCCUGUGCACUGAAUGAGGCAGGGGUACUAAGCACAAUAUACUUCGUGUUCAUGUAAUUAAAAACUAUAUAAUAAAGAACAUGCACAAAGGGGCCAAAUUAAGGUUGCAUGAGCAAGCAGCUUUAAUUUGGCUGCUUGCACUUUGGCAGCACAAAGGAAAGGAGAAUUAGUCAGUGCUGCUGGCAGCACACCCCAGGCAUGUUGGGACUGGAUGGGGUGUGGUCCAUAGUUCCUAUCCAUUCACUAACAUUCUGUUGCUGGCAAGACAGGCCCGUUACAGUGUAAGAGGGUGGAGAUCACUAAGUGAUUCAUAGAAUCAUAGAAUAUCAGAGUUGGAAGGGACCUCAAGAGGUCAUCUAGUCCAACCCCCUGCUCAAAGCAGGACCAAUUCCCAGCUAAAUCAUCCCACUGAUUGGAAGGGGUUGAGAUGUAUAAUAGAAAUGGUUUCAUAUCCAUUCCUCCCAGUGCUGGGACCUAUUUUAUUGUAUUGUUCCAGAUGGAAGAACGUUGUAUUAAUAAUGGUAGAACAUUGAUUAAUGUAGUUGAUCUUCCACAAACAUCUUCUCUGUACUGUAAUAUUCAUUUUUAAUUACCGUAUAUACUCAUUCAUAAGCCGAAUUUAUUU